rnacentral:lncRNA from 1 species
AAACUCAACUCCUAACCUAAAAAUUCAAUUCAUGAGCAUUUUAGAAGAACAAAUAGGAGAAAUUCUCGACAAACAAGGGUUUGUGAAUGGGUUUGUGAAUUGAAUUAUCUUUCUAAAAUUAAGAAGGAGGAUGUAAAAUACUUUCUGAAGAUUGAUAAUAAAAUACUAAAAUUUAUUAUAAGCCAUCUUUCUAAGAUUGACAAUCUAAAAUCAUUAGAAUUUAUCAAUCCAAUAUUCGACACG